rnacentral:rRNA from 1 species
UACGUAGGCAGCAAGCGUUGUUCGGAAUUAUUGGGCGUAAAGAGUGUGUAGGCGGUGCUCUAAGUUUGGUGUGAAAUCUCCCGGCUUAACUGGGAGGGUGCGCCGAAAACUGGAGUGCUUGAGUAUGGGAGAGGUAAGCGGAAUUCCUGGUGUAGCGGUGAAAUGCGUAGAUAUCUGGAGGAAUACCGGUGGCGAAGGCGGCAUCCUGGACCGGCAUUGACGCUGAGGCGCGAAAGCGUGGGGAGCAAACAGG